AGGCUGCUUCAGUUCCAGACGCUUUUACACCCUCGUGACUGACAGAUACUCUGGCCUGAAUCUGCUGUAGCUUGAGGAGGUGUAGCCUGCUAUCAAAGCACACGACACAAGUCUGAUCUUCGAUCACCGGACAAUUUUCUUCAGAAAAUGCAAAAAUGAAAUUAUAGUAUCUUUAUGUUUAGCUAUAGCUAAAUCAAAUGCUUGUUAAAUGUGUCAGCAAGGGGAGUGUUUAGCAAGGAAUCAUUCAACUAAAUGUAAACAUGACAACUAAUCAAGGCAGCAGCAGGUUCACUCCAUGUGUGAGUUUGACAGAUGGGUCAGUGAGAAAAUCCGCUUAGCAACUUUCUGCUGAUGGAGGUUCACUGAAUAAAGCUCACACACUUUCUCAUUACUAGCUUCGAGUCACCGCACUGAGGCCUCGCUUGCUUUUAUUCAACUUUAUCGGAUACACUUUCAAGAUAAAGGACAUGUCUGCCGAAAAGAUUCCUGUACAUAAUAGCCUAAAUAUCUUUCAUGUAUAACAUCUUCCACAUCAGACAGAUUGAAGCCCAAAAAGAAGAAGCCCGAGUCGACUCCAGCAGAGACCAACGGGACCGAAGCCAAACCCAAAAAGACCAAGAGCAAGAAGAGCGGCGAUAGCUACCCGGCCACUCAGAGUACGGCAGAGAGCUCAUGUCCUGAUGUUACAUCACUGCGCUUCUGUCAGUCUGUUUACACAACUCUCACAAACCUCCCUCACAGAUGGAGAGAAGGUGAAGAAGAAGAAACUGGAGAAGGACAAAGAAUCAACAGAGAAGGAGAAGGAAAUCAAAAAGAAAGCGAAAAGUGCUCCAAAGAAGAAGAAGAGUAAGUGACCCAGUUUUUUUUGUGUCAUUUAUAUGAUUUAUAUUAUUAUAUUAAAU
rnacentral:lncRNA from 1 species